AUGAAAGAAUUCUGUCAACAAGAGCAUAUCCGGCUUGAUGUGUCAUCGGUAGCUCACCCCCAGUCUAAUGGCCAAGUUGAACGAGCUAAACAAGAAAUUUUGAGAGGUAUCAAGCCCCGGCUUAUGGUUCCUUUGCAGAGAACACCGGGUUGUUGGGUGGAGGAAUUACCCUCAGUGCUUUGGAGUAUCAAUACCACCCCCAAUAGAUAUGCGGGUUACACACCUUUCUUCAUGGUUUAUGGAGCUGAGGCGGUUCUCCCCAGUGACAUACGUCACGAUUCGCCUCGUGUGGCAGCUUAUGUUGAAGCAAACAAUGAGAAAGCAUGA
rnacentral:rRNA from 1 species